rnacentral:rRNA from 1 species
UACGUAGGGCGCAGCGUUAUCCGGAAUUAUUGGGCGUAAAGAGCUUGUAGGCGGUUUGUCGCGUCUGCCGUGAAAAUCCGAGGCUCAACCUCGGACUUGCGGUGGGUACGGGCAGACUAGAGUGUGGUAGGGGAGACUGGAAUUCCUGGUGUAGCGGUGAAAUGCGCAGAUAUCAGGAGGAACACCGAUGGCGAAGGCAGGUCUCUGGGCCACUACUGACGCUGAGAAGCGAAAGCAUGGGGAGCGAACAGG